rnacentral:rRNA from 1 species
AUACGAAGGGGGCAAGCGUUGUUCGGAAUAACUGGGCGUAAAGCGUACGUAGGCGGCAAGUUAAGUUAGAUGUGAAAGCCCCGGGCUCAACCUGGGAACUGCAUUUAAAACUGGCUUGCUAGAGUUGAGUAGAGGGGAGUGGAAUUUCAGGUGUAGCGGUGAAAUGCGUAGAGAUCUGAAGGAACACCAGUGGCGAAGGCGACUCCCUGGACUCGAACUGACGCUGAGGUACGAAAGCGUGGGUAGCAAACGGGAUUAGAAACCCUAGUAGUCC